UACGUAGGGGGCAAGCGUUGUCCGGAUUUAUUGGGCGUAAAGAGCGUGUAGGCGGCUUGGUAGGUCUGCCGUGAAAACUCGAGGCUCAACCUCGAGCUGUCGGCGGAAACCACUUGGCUAGAGUCCGGAAGAGGAGAGUGGAAUUCCUGGUGUAGCGGUGAAAUGCGCAGAUAUCAGGAAGAACACCUAUGGCGAAGGCAGCUCUCUGGGACGGUACUGACGCUGAGACGCGAAAGCGUGGGGAGCGAACAGG
rnacentral:rRNA from 1 species